AGCCUGUCCCAGUUCGGACUGGAGUCUGCAACCCGACUCCACGAAGUUGGAUUCGCUAGUAAUCGCGCAUCAGCCAUGGCGCGGUGAAUACGUUCCCGGGCCUUGUACACACCGCCCGUCAAGCCAUGGGAGCCGGGGGNGCCUGAAGUCCGGGACCGCGAGGACCGGCCUAGGGCGAAACUGGUAACUGGGGCUAAGUCGUAACAAGGUAAC
rnacentral:rRNA from 1 species